rnacentral:rRNA from 1 species
GACGAACGCUGGCGGCGUGCCUAAUACAUGCAAGUCGAACGGUUUAGUUCCAAGAGGCUUGCCUUUUGGAACUAGACAGUGGCGGACGGGUGAGUAACACGUAGGCAACCUACCUGUCAAACCGGGAUAACCUCGGGAAACCGAAGCUAAACCCGGAUAAGCUCCUUUUUCGCCUGAAGGGGGAGUGAAAAGGUGCGACCUGAUGACAGAUGGGCCUGCGGCGCAUUAGCUAGUAGGUAGGGUAACGGCCUACCUAGGCGAUGAUGCGUAGCCGGCCUGAGAGGGUGGUCGGUCGCACUGGGACUGAGAUACGGCCCAGACUCCUACGGGAGGCAGCAGUGGGGAAUAUUGCACAAUGGACGAAAGUUUGAUGCAGCGACGCCGCGUGGAGGGUGUAGGCCUUCGGGUUGUGAACUCCUUUGUCUCGCGAAAAAGGCACAGUUUUGGCUGUGUUGAUGGUAGUGGGGGAAGAAGCGCCGGCUAACUACGUG